GUCUCAUCGGCUAGGGGACCGGGGCAGACCCCCAGAGGAGAGGCGUCCUCCUCAGCCGGCCGACGCUGGGCGCGGCCGCUCUAAGCCAGUCAGCCGACCCGGAGCCCGCGGGGCGGGGGGGGGGGCCCUGCAGCGCGCGUCACGUGUCCGGCGUGUGUAGCCCCAGUUGACUCCGAGGAAACGCGCGCAGCCCAGCAUCCAGGCUCGGUCGCGCCCCGCCUCCCUGCAGACACCGCCCUGCCCCCGCCCGCCUGGAGCCCCAGCUGGCACUCAGCGGGUCCCUUUCCAAUUUGCGGCACAUUCAGGAGUUCGGUAUUCCCACGGGAAGAGCUCGUUGCCAUGGCGAUGCGAGCCUCCCAACCCCGGACCGCCCGGGAGGCCGAGUCCUCCCCCAGCACGGCCCGCCCCCGUCCGCUGGAGAGGGUCGCGGCGUGGGGGAGGGCGCGUCAAUGACGGACCCAGGUGGCUGCCCAGGGGAAAGCUGCAAGCGCAUCACCGACUGGCCUGGAAAGCCUUUCAUCUCUGCUCCAGCAGCAGCAGCUCUUUGAUGAAUUGUGUCUCGUGGCUUUGGGGCCUCCAGCCACACCGUGCUGUAAAUCCCUGGGUGCCUGCUGGCUCCUAUCUGGGGCUCCCCCUUCCCUCCUCCUGCUGCCUCAAGACUCAGGGACUUGAAGUCGCAAUAAACCUUGAUUUUUCCAA